AACGCGUUAUACGAGAAUAGUCGUACAAUGUGCUCGUAUGAUAAUUUAUAACGCGUUAUAAACAAAAGAUUCACAUUUAACUUUUCUCCUUAAAGGGGUUUAAAGUGAAAGAAUAUUAAGCAAAAACUAUGUUAUGAACGAAAUAUGCGUGUUUUAUUAAAAUCAAACUAAGAACAUCUUAAUUAAAAAAUUUAUACAUACGUAACUAAAAAACAAUUAAUUUCAAAUAAAUUACAUAAUUCCAAAAGCAGUUUUAUUACAUGUUUAUUCGCUAUCGGAGCUAUCUGAAAUAAGCCACAGUACAGAUAUAUAACGUAGGAUAUCCACGCGUUAUAUGUGGAAAAACACGUGUUAUAAUAAUGACAUGAAAUCGUGUGAUUUGAAAACGCGUUCCAGGGAGGAAUAUUUCUGUGGCUGUCAAAAUCCAAAAAAUAACAGUUGGUUCUCCUCUUCAACAAAAUUAGCAUACAACCCAACUAUUGAUGAGAUAGUGACUUGCUUUUAGCUAAACGAUUCCCCAAUGAUCUCAUACUUAUAUCAAACACAAACCAACAUCCAGGUGCCUUAAUGAAAUUCUGUUUCUUAUGUCUUAACUUAAGGAACAACGUAUUAAAAUCACUCCAGGUUCAUUUUGCGUUAACAGUGCGAUUGUGCUUCCAUUAAAAAACUAAGAUAAUUUCUUAUUAACCUAGCUGUUAACUACGAAAUAAUUGAUUGGAUUUCUGGAUUUACAGUGGUCUUCCUCGAGGUUCGUGGCCAAGUCCAAAAUAUUUCAAUUUGUAAAUCUCGUGCCUUCACAUGUUAAAUGAUAACAGCACUUAUUUUUUUGCAAAACACUGAUGACUUUACUAUAAUUUCUUAUUGAAAACUUUUGUAGAUGCUAGCAACAAUAUAGUAUAUAAAAUUUCGCUCCUUUAAUCAAGCCGAUCUCGAUUGGCAUUUUAUAAAGCAGAUUGACUUGGCGGUCUUAAGCCGAGCAGCGUAGGGUAAUACACCACAAAAAUCUUGAACAACACUUUGGAAAGAUUCAUAGGAAAUCUUUCCAUAAAUAAACAUUUAUCUACUCCAAUCCAUAACAUAUACUACAAUAUAUGGGGAAACUAUUUAGGGAACUUAUUCGCAUUAAUAGCAAUGAAAUUCCUUUAGUGGAAGUUCCUUUUGUUAAUUUUUUGGGAAGAAAUAUAUCCAGAAGCUUAUCGGUUGGUCAUUAAAGAAAUUGCCUGUACUCCAAAUUAAUUGAAAACUUUCGCACAUAUCAUAAGUGAACGUUUAUUUCAACGACUCUUAAAUUUCAUAAAAUCUUAAUUCAGAUUAAAAUACUUUAAAACCACUCCCUGAGAAGGCCUUCCCCGUCCAUUCUCGUUCACAUUACUAAUGUAUUUAGACAAUGAAAUUUCUUCACGUCUGAGAUCACCGAUAUCUAAUAUGCCUCUCUUUACGGUCAGCCUAUUUUACUGUUAAUACGUUUACGACAAGUUUUCCUAUUUCGGGAAUAUCACUUAAAUUUUGCCCCCUUUUUGCAGACCAUUGUUAUAAUUGGCAAAUCUUAUGGAGCUAACACAAUGAGGUGUCAUUUUCGUUUCCGGCUUAAAAAGUCUCAAAUUCUCAACAAAUUCAAAUGUAACAGUGAGAAAAUUGCUAUAAAAGUAAACAAACGUGUUUUCGAUUAGUCGUAAAGAAGAUUUAUUAGAUAAAAAAUUAAAGCAAACGGGAAGAGAUUGGGAAAGAUCACUUUUUGAAAUACGUGAUGUUGACGGGGCUGUUGCGACAUCGUUUAUACAAUUAUGGCAUACACAUUACUUUUCUUUGUCCCCCAAAAGUUGGAUCUCCCUUUUAUAUGUAAAGGUCAUUUCUCUACGACUUUGUGAGGAAUCUAUGAUGUAAAUUAUACUUUCGAAAGUAUGGAUACCGCAGCUUACGCUUCCUAAGCAGACAACUAAUUUGGGAUAUCAUAUGGGAUAGCCUUCAGCAUUGUUUGAUGACUAUCGGUUUUUGAUAUCACUUAAGCAUUG